ACUUUGAAAAAAUUAGAGUGCUCAAAGCAGGCUAAUUCAGCCUCUGGAUAAUGGUGCAUGGAAUAAUGGAAUAGGACCUCGGUUCUAUUUUGUUGGUUUUUAAGAAUCUGAGGUAAUGAUUAAGAGGGAUAGACGGGGGCAUUCGUAUUGCGACGCUAGAGGUGAAAUUCUUGGACCGUCGCACGACGAACUACUGCGAAAGCAUUUGCCAAGAAUGUUUCCAUUAAUCAAGAACGAAAGUCAGAGGUUCGAAGGCGAUCAGAUACCGCCCUAGUUCUGACCAUAAACGAUGCCAGCCAGCGAUCCGGCUGCGUUUCAUAAGACGACGCGCCGGGCAGCUUCCGGGAAACCAAAGCUUUUGGGUUCCGGGGGGAGUAUGGUUGCAAAGCUGAAACUUAAAGGAAUUGACGGAAGCGCACACAAGAAAUGGGGCCUGCGGCUUAAUUUGACUCAACACGGUGCAACUCACCCGGCCCGGACACAGGAAGGAUUGACAGAUUAAGAGCUCUUUCUUGAUUCUGUGACAGGUGGUGCAUGGCCGUUUCUAGUUGGUGGAGUGAUUUGUCUGCUUUAUUGCGAUAACGAGCGAGACUCUAGCCUACUAAAUAGACAUUCCAUAAAUUACAAGUGGAAUGGUCUUCUUAGAGGGACAAGCGGUGUUCAGCCGCACGAAACGGAGCAAAAACAGGUCAGGAUGCCCUUAGAUGUUCGGGGCCGCACGCGCGCCACAUUGAAGGAAUCAGCGUGUUUUUCCCUCCCCGAUAGGGGCGGGUAAUCCGUUGAAAUCCCUUCGUGCUAGGGAUAGGAAAUUGCAAUUGUUUUCCUUGAACGAGGAAUUCCUAGUAAGCAUUGAGUCAUCAGCUCGUGUUGAUUACGUCCCUGCGCUUUGUGCACACCGCCCGUCGCUAUUAUCGAUGAAUUUUGGAGUGAGAUCAU
rnacentral:rRNA from 1 species